rnacentral:rRNA from 1 species
GACGAACGCUGGCGGCGUGCUUAACACAUGCAAGUCGAACGGGCCUUGUCCCCUUUUUUUUGGGGGUGGGGUUAGUGGCGAACGGGUGAGUAACACGUGAGUAACCUGCCCCUCACUUCUGGAUAACCGCUUGAAAGGGUGGCUAAUACGGGGUGUUCUGGCCUGCUCGCAUGGGUGGGUUUGGAAAGAUUCGACCGGUUUUGGUUGUUUUGGUGGGGGAUGGGCUCGCGGCCUAUCAGCUUGUUGGUGGGGGGAUGGCCUGCCAAGGCUUUGACGGGUAGCCGGCCUGAGAGGGUGGGCGGUCACACUGGGACUGAGACACGGCCCAGACUCCUACGGGAGGCAGCAGUGGGGAAUAUUGCACAAUGGGCGCAAGCCUGAUGCAGCGACGCCGCGUGAGGGAUGGAGGCCUUCGGGUUGUGAACCUCUUUCGCCAGUGAAGAAGGUCCUGCUCUUUGUGGUGGGGUUGACGGUAGCUGGGUUAAUGAAGCGCCGGCUAACUACGUG